AACGCACAUUGCGCCCCUUGGUAUUCCGAGGGGCAUGCCUGUUCGAGCGUCAUUACAACCCUCAAGCACUGCUUGGUAUUGGGCUCCGCUGGUUCCAGCGGGCCUUAAAGUCAGUGGCAGCGCCGUCUGAGCUCUGAGCGUAGUAAAUCUCCUCGCUAUAGAGAUCAGGCGGUCCCUCGCCAUCAACCCCCCAACUUUUCUAAGUUUGACCUCGGAUCAGGUAGGGAUACCCGCUGAACUUAA
rnacentral:misc_RNA from 1 species